rnacentral:rRNA from 1 species
UACGAAGGGGGAGCUAGCGUUGCUCGGAAUCACUGGGCGUAAAGGGUGCGUAGGCGGGUCUUUAAGUCAGGGGUGAAAUCCCGGGGCUCAACCCCGGAACUGCCUUUGAUACUGGGUAUCUAGAGUCCAGAAGAGGUGAGUGGAAUUCCGAGUGUAGAGGUGAAAUUCGUAGAUAUUCGGAGGAACACCAGUGGCGAAGGCGGCUCACUGGUCUGGUACUGACGCUGAGGUGGCGAAAGCGUGGGGAGCAAACAGG